rnacentral:rRNA from 1 species
GAGAAACGCUGGCGGCGCACAUAAGACAUGCAAGUCGAACGGAACUUAAAUUGAUGUUUACAUUAGCUUAAGUUUAGUGGCGGACUGGUGAGUAACACGUGAGCAACCUGCCCUUUAGAGGGGAAUAACAUUGAGAAAUCAGUGCUAAUACCGCAUAAAGCAACAUUAUCGCAUGAUGAAGUUGCCAAAGGAGAAAUCCGCUGAAGGAUGGACUCGCGUCUGAUUAGUUAGUUGGUGGGGUAAUGGCCUACCAAGACGAUGAUCAGUAGCCGAGCUGAGAGGCUCAACGGCCACAUUGGGACUGAGAUACGGCCCAGACUCC